UACAGAGGGUGCAAGCGUUAAUCGGAAUUACUGGGCGUAAAGCGCACGUAGGCGGAUAUUUAAGUCAGAUGUGAAAGCCCCGGGCUCAACCUGGGAAUUGCAUUUGAAACUGGGAAACUAGAGUGUGUGAGAGGGGGGUAGAAUUCCAAGUGUAGCGGUGAAAUGCGUAGAGAUUUGGAGGAAUACCAGUGGCGAAGGCGGCCCCCUGGCACGAUACUGACGCUCAGGUGCGAAAGCGUGGGGAGCAAACAGG
rnacentral:rRNA from 1 species